GGGCAGGGUGAGUCGACCCCUAAGGCGAGGCCGAAAGGCGUAGUCGAUGGGAAACAGGUUAAUAUUCCUGUACUUGGUGUUACUGCGAAGGGGGGACGGAGAAGGCUAUGUUAGCCGGGCGACGGUUGUCCCGGUUUAAGCAUGUAGGCUGGUUAUCCAGGCAAAUCCGGAUAAUCAAGGCUGAGGUGUGAUGACGAGGCACUACGGUGCUGAAGUAACAAAUGCCCUGCUUCCAGGAAAAGCCUCUAAGCAUCAGGUAACAUUAAAUCGUACCCCAAACCGACACAGGUGGUCAGGUAGAGAAUACCAAGGCGCUUGAGAGAACUCGGGUGAAGGAACUAGGCAAAAUGGUGCCGUAACUUCGGGAGAAGGCACGCUGGUGUGUAGGUGAAGUCCCUGCGGAUGGAGCUGAGACCAGUCGAAGAUACCAGCUGGCUGCAACUGUUUAUUAAAAACACAGCACUGUGCAAACACGAAAGUGGACGUAUACGGUGUGACGCCUGCCCGGUGCCGGAAGGUUAAUUGAUGGGGUUAUCCGUAAGGAGAAGCUCUUGAUCGAAGCCCCGGUAAACGGCGGCCGUAACUAUAACGGUCCUAAGGUAGCGAAAUUCCUUGUCGGGUAAGUUCCGACCUGCACGAAUGGCGUAAUGAUGGCCAGGCUGUCUCCACCCGAGACUCAGUGAAAUUGAACUCGCUGUGAAGAUGCAGUGUACCCGCGGCAAGACGGAAAGACCCCGUGAACCUUUACUAUAGCUUGACACUGAACAUUGAGCCUUGAUGUGUAGGAUAGGUGGGAGGCUUUGAAGCGUGGACGCCAGUCUGCGUGGAGCCAACCUUGAAAUACCACCCUUUAAUGUUUGAUGUUCUAACGUUGGCCCCUUACCGGGGUUGCGGACAGUGUCUGGUGGGUAGUUUGACUGGGGCGGUCUCCUCCCAAAGCGUAACGGAGGAGCACGAAGGUUAGCUAAUCCUGGUCGGACAUCAGGAGGUUAGUGCAAUGGCAUAAGCUAGCUUGACUGCGAGCGUGACGGCGCGAGCAGGUGCGAAAGCAGGUCAUAGUGAUCCGGUGGUUCUGAAUGGAAGGGCCAUCGCUCAACGGAUAAAAGGUACUCCGGGGAUAACAGGCUGAUACCGCCCAAGAGUUCAUAUCGACGGCGGUGUUUGGCACCUCGAUGUCGGCUCAUCACAUCCUGGGGCUGAAGUAGGUCCCAAGGGUAUGGCUGUUCGCCAUUUAAAGUGGUACGCGAGCUGGGUUUAGAACGUCGUGAGACAGUUCGGUCCCUAUCUGCCGUGGGCGCUGGAGAAUUG
rnacentral:rRNA from 1 species